CAGUCGCCGCGGGAAUACGUAGGGUGCAAGCGUUAUCCGGAAUUAUUGGGCGUAAAGAGCUCGUAGGCGGUCUGUCGCGUCUGCUGUGAAAACUGGGGGCUCAACCCCCAGCCUGCAGUGGGUACGGGCAGACUAGAGUGCGGUAGGGGAGAUUGGAAUUCCUGGUGUAGCGGUGGAAUGCGCAGAUAUCAGGAGGAACACCGAUGGCGAAGGCAGAUCUCUGGGCCGUAACUGACGCUGAGGAGCGAAAGCAUGGGGAGCGAACAGGAUUAGAUACCCGCGUAGUCCCUGUCUCUUAUAC
rnacentral:rRNA from 1 species